AUUGAACGCUGGCGGCAGGCUUAACACAUGCAAGUCGAGCGGUAACAGGUCCAGCUUGCUGGAUGCUGACGAGCGGCGGACGGGUGAGUAACGCGUAGGAAUCUACCCAGUAGCGGGGGAUAGCCCGGGGAAACCCGGAUUAAUACCGCAUACGCCCUAUGGGGGAAAGCAGGGGAUCUUCGGACCUUGCACUAUUGGAUGAGCCUGCGUCGGAUUAGCUAGUUGGUGGGGUAAAGGCCUACCAAGGCGACGAUCCGUAGCUGGUCUGAGAGGAUGAUCAGCCACACCGGGACUGAGACACGGCCCGG
rnacentral:rRNA from 1 species